GGGGUUGUGGUCUAGUGGUAUGACAUCUUCUUAGCAUUGCUCCUUGAGCAUUACUGAGUGGAGAAGGUUCUGGGUUCGAUUCCCAGCUACUCCA
rfam:Aureobasidium pullulans var. melanogenum CBS 110374 unplaced genomic scaffold scaffold_35, whole genome shotgun sequence.